rnacentral:rRNA from 1 species
AUUGAACGCUGGCGGCAGGCCUAACACAUGCAAGUCGCACGAGUGGCGGACGGGUGAGUAAUGUCUGGGAAACUGCCUGAUGUAGGGGGAUAACUACUGGAAACGGUAGCUAAUACCGCAUACCAUCAGAUGUGCCCAGAUGGGAUUAGCUUGUUGGUGUGGUAACGGCUCACCAAGGCGACGAUCCCUAGCUGGUCUAAGAGGAUGACCAGCCACAGUGGAACUGAGACACGGUCCAGACGACUACGUGAGGAAGCAUUGGGGAAUAGUGCACAAUGGGCGCAAGCUGGAUGCAGCCAUGCCGCGUGUAUGAAGAAGGCGUUCGGGUUGGAAAGUACUUUCAGCGGGGAGGCGUUACCCGCAGAAGAAGCACCGGCUAACUCCGUGCCAGCAGCCGCGGUAAUUC